UAAACCGCGGAGAACCCUUACCAGAGGCUUGACAACACCCGGAAACCGGCCAAAGAUGGUCGCCCCCUUGGGGUCGGUGUACAGGUGGUGCAUGGUUGUCGUCAGCUCGUGUCGUGAGAUGUUGGGUUAAGUCCCGCAACGAGCGCAACCCUCGUUCUAUAUUGCCAGCGCGUUAUGGCGGGCACUCAUAGGAGACUGCCGGGGUCAACUCGGAGGAAGGUGGGGAUGACGUCAAAUCAUCAUGCCCCUUAUGUCUCGGGCUUCACGCAUGCCACAAUGGCCGGUACAAAGGGCUGCGAUACCGUAAGGUGGAGCGAAUCCCAAAAAGCCGGUCUCAGUUCGGAUUGAGGUCUGCAACUCGACCUCAUAAAGUCGGAGUCGCUAGUAAUCGCAGAUCAGCA
rnacentral:rRNA from 1 species